rnacentral:tRNA from 1 species
CGGGGUGUAGCGUAGUUGGCUAGCGCGUCGGCUUUGGGAGCCGAAGGUCGCGGGUUCGAGUCCCGCCACCCCGA